rnacentral:rRNA from 1 species
GACGAACGCUGGCGGCGUGCUUAACACAUGCAAGUCGAACGGAAAGGCCCCCAUCUUGGUGGGGGUGCUCGAGUGGCGAACGGGUGAGUAACACGUGGGUGAUCUGCCCUGUACUUCGGGAUAAGCUUGGGAAACUGGGUCUAAUACCGGAUAGGACCAUGGUUUAGUGUCUCAUGGUGGAAAGAUUAUUGUUUUGGUGCAGGAUGAGCUCGCGGCCUAUCAGCUUGUUGGUGGGGUAAUGGCCUACCAAGGCGUUGACGGGUAGCCGGCCUGAGAGGGUGGACGGCCACAUUGGGACUGAGAUACGGCCCAGACUCCUACGGGAGGCAGCAGUGGGGAAUAUUGCACAAUGGGCGCAAGCCUGAUGCAGCGACGCCGCGUGGGGGAUGACGGCCUUCGGGUUGUAAACUCCUUUCGUUAGGGACGAAGCCGCACUUUUUUUGGGUGUGGUGACGGUACCUUUGUUAAGAAGCACCGGCUAACUACGUG